rnacentral:rRNA from 1 species
UACGUAGGGGGCUAGCGUUAUCCGGAAUUACUGGGCGUAAAGGGAGCGUAGGUGGUUUCUUAAGUCAGAGGUGAAGGGCUACGGCUCAACCGUAGUAAGCCUUUGAAACUGGGAAACUUGAGUGCAGGAGAGGAGAGUGGAAUUCCUAGUGUAGCGGUGAAAUGCGUAGAUAUUAGGAGGAACACCAGUUGCGAAGGCGGCUCUCUGGACUGUAACUGACACUGAGGCACGAAAGCGUGGGGAGCAAACAGGAUUAGAUACCCUGGUAGUCCCUGAG